GGGCGUGUAACUCAGUGGUAGAGUGCUCGCUUCGCAUCUCUGUCGGUGCAUGCGAGAAGUCCAGGGUUCAACUCCCUGCUCGUCCA
rnacentral:tRNA from 1 species